AUUGAACGCUGGCGGCAGGCCUAACACAUGCAAGUCGAGCGAGUUGCGGACGGGUGUGUAAUGUCUGGGGAACUGCCUGAUUUAGGGGGAUAACUACUGGAAACGGUAGCUAAUACCGCAUACUAUCGGAUCUAUCCAUAUGGGAUUAGCUAGUGGGUGGGGUAAAGGCUCACCUAGGCGACGAUACCUAGCUGGUCUGAGAGGAUGACCAGCCACACUGGGACUGAGACACGGACCAGACUCCUACGGGAGGCAGCAGUGGGGAAUAUUGCACAAUGGGCGCAAGCCUGAGACAGCCAUGCCGCGUGUAUGAAGAAGGCCUUAGGGUUGUAAAGUACUUUCAGCGGGGAGGCGUUACACACAGAAGAAGCACCGGCUAACUCCGUGCCAGCAGCCGCGGUAAUAA
rnacentral:rRNA from 1 species